AGAGUUUGAUCCUGGCUCAGGAUGAACGCUAGCUACAGGCUUAACACAUGCAAGUCGAGGGGCAGCGUGAUUGUAGCUUGCUUCAUUUGACGGCGACCGGCGCACGGGUGAGUAACGCGUAUCCAACCUUCCGUUUACUCAGGGAUAGCCUUUCGAAAGAAAGAUUAAUACCUGAUGGUAUGAUGAGAUUGCAUGAUAGCAUCAUUAAAGAUUUAUUGGUGUACGAUGGGGAUGCGUUCCAUUAGGUAGUAGGCGGGGUAACGGCCCACCUAGCCUACGAUGGAUAGGGGUUCUGAGAGGAAGGUCCCCCACAUUGGAACUGAGACACGGUCCAAACUCCUACGGGAGGCAGCAGUGAGGAAUAUUGGUCAAUGGGCGAGAGCCUGAACCAGCCAAGUAGCGUGAAGGAUGAAGGUCCUACGGAUUGUAAACUUCUUUUAUACGGGAAUAAAGUAUCCUACGUGUAGGAUUUUGUAUGUACCGUAUGAAUAAGCAUCGGCUAACUCCGUGCCAGCAGCCGCGGUAAUACGGAGGAUGCGAGCGUUAUCCGGAUUUAUUGGGUUUAAAGGGAGCGCAGACGGGAGAUUAAGUCAGUUGUGAAAGUUUGCGGCUCAACCGUAAAAUUGCAGUUGAUACUGGUUUUCUUGAGUGCAGUUGAGGCAGGCGGAAUUCGUGGUGUAGCGGUGAAAUGCUUAGAUAUCACGAAGAACUCCGAUUGCGAAGGCAGCCUGCUAAGCUGCAACUGACAUUCAGGCUCGAAAGUGUGGGUAUCAAGCAGGAUUAGAUACCCUGGUAGUCCACACGGUAAACGAUGAAUACUCGCUGUUGGCGAUAUACGGCAAGCGGCCAAGCGAAAGCGUUAAGUAUCCCACCUGGGGAGUACGCCGGCAACGGUGAAACUCAAAUGAAUUGACGGAAGGGCG
rnacentral:rRNA from 1 species